GCCCGGAACUCAGUCGGUGAGCAGGGGAUUGAAAAUCCCCGUGUCCUUGGUUCGAUUCCGAGUCCGGGCACC
rnacentral:tRNA from 1 species